rnacentral:rRNA from 1 species
GAGAUAUAUACUGUCUCAUAUAUAUAAAAUGAAUUUAAAUUUUUAGUAAAAAUGCUUAAAUAAUUUUAUGGGACGAUAAGACCCUAUAGAAUUUUAUAUUAAAAUUUUAUUAAUUAUUUAGUUAAAAUUUUAAUAUUUAGUUGGGAGGAUUAGUAAAUAAAAUUAGCUUUAUUUUAAAAAUAAACUUUGAUUUAAGAAUAAAAUUUUGAUCUUAUAUUAUAAAUUAAAAGAAUAAAUUACCUUAGGGAUAACAGCGUAAUAUCUUUUUAAAGAUCAUAUUAAUAAAGAUGUUUGCGACCUCGAUGUUGAAUUAAGAUAAAUUUUAAAUGAAGAAAUUUAAAAAUUAAGUCUGUUCGACUUUUAAAAUCUUACAUGA